rnacentral:rRNA from 1 species
CCUGUUUAUUAAAAACAUGGCCUAUUGAGUAUAAUUUUAGGUCUGACCUGCCCAAUGAUAUUUAUAUAUAUUUAAUGGCCGCGGUAAUUUGACCGUGCAAAGGUAGCAUAAUCAUUAGUUUUUUAAAUGAAAGCUUGUAUGAAGGGUUUGAUGAAAAAAUAGCUGUCUCUAUUUAAAUUUUUUAGAAAUUUAUUUUUAAGUAAAAAAGCUUAAAUAUUUAUAAAAGACGAGAAGACCCUAUAGAGUUUUAUAUUGAUAAAAAUAAGUGAGGGGUUUAGAAUUUUGUAGUUUAUUUUUAAUUUAUUUGAUUGGGGUGAUUGAAAAAUUUGAUUAACUUUUUUUUUAUUAUAUCAUUGAUUUAUGAAUAUUUGAUCCUUGGUUUAAGAUUAUAAGAUUAAAUUACCUUAGGGAUAACAGCGUAAUUUUUUAAAAAGUUCUUAUUAAAAAAAAAGAUUGCGACCUCGAUGUUGGAUUAAAAAAAAUUAUUGGUGUAGAAGCUGAUAAAUUAGGUCUGUUCGACCUUUAAAAUUUUA